rnacentral:rRNA from 1 species
UGCGGGGGCGUGGCGGGCGGGGUAUAGGUAGGGUGGGAUCGGUAAUCGGAAUGACGGGGCGUAAAGCGUGCGCAGGCGGUUUUGUAGGACAGAGGGGAAAUCCCCGGGCUCAACCUGGGAACUGCCUUUGUGACUGCAAGGCUAGAGUACGGCAGAGGGGGAUGGAAUUCCGCGUGUAGCAGUGAAAUGCGUAGAUAUGCGGAGGAACACCGAUGGCGAAGGCAAUCCCCUGGGCCUGUACUGACGCUCAUGCACGAAAGCGUGGGGAGCAAACAGGAUUAGAUACCCGAGUAGUC